CCCAGACCCGCGGGAGAGACCCCGAGAAAUAUGGAGAAUCGGGGCGCCGAAGGCGCAAUCGCCAGGAAUCGCUCAGGCAAAAGGACCGUGGAGACGAU
rnacentral:ncRNA from 2 species